rnacentral:misc_RNA from 1 species
GAGAUCCAAGAAAAGGAGAAAAAUUGAAGAUCAUGCACUCCCCAUAUUGGAUUCUGGUGUUCUGGGCAAGCGGGUUGGCUGUGAUGGUAACAUUUUAGGUGCAAGUGGACUGGUGGCCCCCUCCAAGAGGUUGGAAGAGAAACAACUAGAUAGCAUCCCGAAUAACAGUCCUGUGGAAGUGGAGGCUGUUGUUUUCAGGGAACGGGGAGGUGGUUCUGGAGACCAUGUUGGUGUAGGUUCAGCAGCAGAAAUUAAUAGAGAGGUCAAAUCCAGGAAGAGGAAGUCGAAAUCCAAGAGGAGGAAAAAAAUUGAAGAUCAUGCUCUCCCCAUGUUGGAUUCUGGUGUUCUGAGCAAGCAGGUAUGCUGUGAUGGUAACAUUGUGGGUGUAAGUGGACUGGUGGCCUCCAAGUGGCCGGAAAAGAAACAACUCGAUGGCAUCCCAAAUAACGGUCUUGAGGAAGUGGAAGCUGGUGUUUUCAGGGAACAGGGAGGUGGUUCUGGUGACCAUUUUGGCGUAGGUGCAACAGUGGAAAUUAAUACACAAAUCAAAUCCAAGAAAAGGAAACCGAGAUCCAAGAAAAGGAGAAGUGAGGAUCAUGCUCUCCCCAUAAUGGAAUCUGGUGUUCUUAGCAAGCAUGUUGGGUGUGAUGGUCAUAUUGUAGAUGCAAGCGGACCAGCUGGCCACCUUCAAUACGGAGAAAAAGAAACUUGAUGGUAUCCUGAAUGAUCUAGGAAGUGGAGGCUGGUGUUGUCUGGAAAGAGGGAGGUGGCUUUGUUGACCACGUCGGUGUAGGCGCAGCAGCAGAAAUUGGUAAAGAAGCCCAAUCCAGGAAGAGGAAAGAGAGAUCCAAGAAAAGGAGGAUUGAAGAUGGUGCCUCUCCCAAAUGGCAUCUAGAAAUUGGAUGGUCUCGUCUUUGUGAGCAGAGAAAGUGAUCCCAUCUAUUACAAUUUUGAGAAUUUGAUAGCUGGAUUGCUUGUUGAAUUAUAGACGUGGCUCUGCACUGUAGGGCAUUGUCAUUACAAAGAAAGUUUGGCAGCAGAAAUGAGGUCUGAUUUUUUUAAAAGCAGAUAAUCUGAGUGGAACCAAAUUUGUGUUGCACUUAAAUGAUGUGGGAAGCCAAAUCUGUAUUCUAAUAUUGCGAGUGUGCCUCCGGGUGCACCUCGAAAGCUUAUAGAUUCAUUUGUUGGAUUCUGGUUUUGCUCUUUAUUAGAAAGAAAACUGGAAAAGAAAACUUUUCAUUUGAAAAGUUUUAAACGCAGUGAACUGAAUGAUUUUCAAGCAAUUCGCAGUUGCAUCAUAUUACGCGCAUGAUUGUAGGCUACAAUUUUCUUUGAAGUCAUUUCUUGUUCUCUCGUCUAUCUUCAUUUAGGGGAAAAAAAAUAAAAAUAAACAGAAAAACUACGUGUGCUGCUCUGUUGUACUAGUUGAUUUAGAGAGAAUUCCAAGUGGAAGCAAAACAGCUUAUUUAGUCUCACCUUCCCCAUCGAGAAAGGAUAAGCAAGCCAACAAUUGUCAGACAUGAAGCAGCUACUACUGAAACGACAAGCACAAAUGCAUACGCAAGAUUUGGAAACCUGAAAUAGUUUUGAAUCUGCUUCAUUCCCCUGUCGAUAAGUGGUGCUAAGGCUGCAGCUCCAGCUACUCGAAACGGCCUGGUGAUGUUUUUCCCAGUCCACAUCAAAAUUACAAUCUGAGGUUUUCAAGAAAACCUUAUUAACUAAUAGCAAAGAAGAUAACUUAUCUUCCUUGCUCUUAGGAGAAAUUUGAAGAUCAUUGCAAAAGCAUACAAUAACAAAUGAAAUGAUGGAUUAGAACUCAGGCAUAUCAAUUAAUCAACAAUUUCUGCAACACUUUUCACCAAAAUGAUAAUAUUAACACCUUCACUAAUAUAUUCAAGUUAAUGGUCUGAGAAGAACACAACCAAGGUUAUAUGUAAUUCUGAAUCGUUACAUUAUAUCCUGCACCAAUCCCUCCUCCCCACCCCGCCCCUCUUCUUAUUCCGUUGUUCCCACAUCAAUGAUUUCUGAUUUAGUAUUGGACCAAACAUACCAAACUAUGCACCAUGCAUUCUUAGAAUUAUAAGUGAAAAGAAUUAAAGGCUUGGAGAUUACCAUUUUCAUCUCGCAGCAAUGAAAUUAAACAGAAUAUUAUAGAAACACAUCAAUGAAAAUUAAGAAUAUUACCCCUAAAAGUGCUUGGAGAUUGGCGGCAGGAUUCUUUCCUGUGCUCUUUUCAUACCCAAGGAAAGCAAGCACAAAGAUAGUGGUAUAGGUGAUGGCAUCAAACAACCCAUACGCAAGUACAGCUGCAAGCCCAAGCUUUGCAAGUUUUGAACUCAUUUCAGCAGAAUUAG